GGAGAAUCAGGAGGUCAUGGGGCCUAUUGUUGGGUACAGGGUUAUGUUACCUUAGCUGUGCAUCUGGAAUCAGGAAAUCACUGCUUCCACUGCUGGCUCAGAAACAUACCACCCAGGCUGAAGUCUAGGGAUCAGGAAACUGGCUCCAACAUGAUGGACUCUGGAGCCAUGAUUUGCCUGCUAAAGCUGUGCCAGCAAGAUAAGUAUCUCCCUUCCCACUUACACUAGCUUGAAUUGGGGUCUUGCUCAAGUGCGUCUUCAGUGAAAGUUACAUCGAGUGUGCCUGCCUCUCCUGCCUCUCCUUCCACCUCCUCUAACUCUCCUGCUUCUACCACCCCUGAGACAGCAAGACCAACCUCUCGUCAGCCUAUUCAAUGUGAAGAAAAUAAGGAGGAAGACCUUAUGAGGACCUACGUCCAAUCAAUAAAUAACUUGCGGGAGGUUCUGGAGUCCCAUGGUUAUUAAUCUCUGGAGGCUUCACCAUCCUUUGUGGGUUCCUUUAAUUAUCUCCAUUGCCUCAAAAGCUAAAAAAGCAAGUCUUGCAGUUUGGUGGGAGAGAGUAUGCAGUCACCAACAUGGCAUGAAUUUAGGAGUGAAUAAACGAAAGAAAAGAAAAAAACCUAUUAUUUAGAGACUCCCCAUUGCCCACACUAGGAACAGUUCCACCCCCUGUGUGCCACUGGGAACAGGUCUGUAGUGACGCCUGCCUGAUUUGAGUUCUGUUCUUCCCCCAGCACCCCUGACAAGUUACAAAGCUGACCUCAAGCUUUUCUCCCUUCCAUACCUGAAAAUGCUAUGAAUGGUGUAAGCAAGCCUCUUUUGAGAGAGAAGAGCUUCACGGAGAAGCAGAUUUUGCUGGUGGUGAAACAGGGGAAGGUCAUUCCUGGCAGAGGGAGCAGGUGAGCCCAGACAGGCCUGAUAGAAGUCAGUCUGACUCUUCCUUGACCACUUUAAGCCCCAGUAGCCGGCCCAGAUCCUCCCACGAUUCUUGCUGCCUCCCGAACUGCAGUGUGAGCAAAUGAGAUAAGUACAAAAUAUUCCUACACCACUGGCUCCAUGCUCUCCUCAUAUUCAAUCAUGAAGACUAAUGAACCAGAGAUGAUUACGGUGGUAAAAAUCCAAAUGCAGAUUUUUGCUGUCCUUACUAAUGAGAGAAAAAUAUAGUAGACCAUUGGCCUAAAGGCUCCAGAUGCGAUUCCUUUGUAACUUAGAGUGCAUUAAAAAAGCUUCAGUCAGCAAGAUAAGUUAAUUUUUUUAUGACCUUUAUAAACUCUUUUAGCCUGUAUCUCGGGAGCUUCUUAAAGAUUAAAUUUUAAAAAAUCCUUUUAGCUCAGGCCAACACAGCAUCUGAGUCUUUUUUGCUUCCAAGGCUACAUCCAAAAUCUAUAAAAAAAUUCUGUUCAUGACAAUUAUUGUCAAAGUAAUGAUUAGCUAACAUGUCAUUUUUAGUUUUUACUGUUCUUGCCUCUAUGAGACUAAUCCAAUAAAGCUCACAUCUUCUUAAUGUAAAAGUUGCAUGAAGGAUGCAUUAUUCCCGUUGACUUUGCCUACAUUUGCAAAUUCUUGAAAAAGCAAAUUGAAUUGUCACUAGUGGCACCUCUUUCACAGGAUGAUUGUUGGGUCAAAGUGAGAGUGUAGGGGACAAAUAUCAAGAUUUUUGUUAAAAGAAAAAAAUCCCUACCUAAGAACUGUAAAGCUGUAUUAAUAUAUAAUUGAGGCCAUGGACUUUAGUAGACCAUAAGGCACAGCUACCCAAGGUGAUGGGUAUAAUUUUGCAGGGGGAGGAAUGUCGGAGGAAUGUGAAGGGCUCUUCAUUGAUGGCAUCACAAAUUUAAUUUAUUAUGUGAAACAUGUAGUUUCUUCUCACCUCUUUGGUUGUAGGAUAACUGCUCCUUUUAAACACUGUGCUUUUGACUGGCUUGAUUGGUAACUACAAAAGUCAUCAUCCUAGGCAUCUGUCACUACUUCUAUUACAUCCAACCUACUGACCCAGAAAAUCUGUGGUUGACACAAUUGAUUUCUCUAAAAGAUUCAUUCAGCAUUUAUUUUAUUUUUGACAUCCACCUACAAGGUCCCACAGAAAUUUAGUACCUACAUCUCUGUGUAAGAGAAACACAGCCCUUUAUAAAAAGUGCAUAUCCUGAAGUGAGGAGCUGGAACAAAGCAGGAGUCUUGCUUAGAAUGAUUCACUGAAGUAACUGGAUUUAUUAAGAUGUAUGUGAGCUUUGGUGACUAUGCCACUGAAGACAUUUGUGCUCACCUCGUGAGAGGCUGCCACUGGAAAUAACAAC
rnacentral:lncRNA from 10 species